UCACGUGACGGGGGCGGGGCCGACCCUGCCCCGCAGCGCCGCCGUUGCCACGGCAACGCGGCCCGCGGAGGAGGGCGUGAGGCCGCGGUCCGGCCGUUGGCGCUCCCCCCUUCGGCUAACGGCUCCCGGCGGGCGGCGGGGGCAAGCGCCGGCCUAGGCCGCUGCAGAGCGCAGGGAGCAGCUGUUGCUCCGUCCGCUCUCAGCACACUCUGCUGCGGGGCCUGGUGUGCCGUGAGGUAAAGACCAGUCCCCGGCGCGCUUGGGCAAAGGAAAAGCUUAAAAGUCCCAAACACAGAUCCUCCGCGCAGCUUCGGGGCGCGUCGCCGCCGCAGGCGCGCACUGCUCCCUCCCAGCCUCCCGGGCUGCCUGAGCACAGCCGUCUUCUCGCCUGCCGUUCGCGGACUUGCAAACGAGAGCUAACCCUGCCGGGGCCCCGUGUCGCAGUCUGGGAACAAACAGCCCGGGCUGAAAUCUUCUGACUCACCGUCCUCCACCGCCAACGCGAGCGAGCCUCCCGCGGGCCUGGAGUGAGCUGCGCCUGGUUCACAAGGAAAAUUUGAAGUAUAGCCCUCAUCGGCUCAUCCGUUGUUUCUAGUAAUCCAUAUUGCAAAUGAAUCGGUUUGCCAGUAAAUGUGAGUACUUCGCUGCAGAAUUGUUUCUAGGUAAUGCAAAAACAGCUUUCAUCAGAGAUGUCGAAUGUUCAAGAAGUUACUAAAAGCCAAAUCCGAUAAGCAGUCUGAAUUCCACCACACGUAAGGGCCGGUAAAAAUGAAAACGAAAGAGAAACACUCACAGGAUAUAACAGUCUGACAGAGAGAUGGUGCCGUUUCCAGCGUUAAGAAAACUCACCGUUAAAGCAAUGGUGGUGUAGCCUACAUUACUGACAGCAACUCGGAUGUGAGAGGCCAGACAAUUUGUAAAAGGAUAGUCAGAUGUUGUAUGAGGAAAGUUUCUCUUAAUUUAUUUUUAUAAGCUCAUUUUUCCCAGUGUUUUAAGGAAUAAUCCGCAUUCAUUAAAAUGCCUUUCUUUCCAUCUGCUGACAUAACUUAUAUUAAUGGAGUCCAUCCUUUUCAUCCUGAUAACUGAACUCAUUUCCAAAAGGUUACAGUUCACAAUCAAUACAUUUUAUCUUGCAGAGAAAAAAAGGGGAGGAAAGUGGUUUGUCAUAAACAGCUUUUUUGAAUUGCUUGUCCUCUGUCAACUUGUACUUUCUUAUCAAAACUGAGUCAUUGCCAAGCAAAUAAACUUGACAGAAGGAGUUACCAAUGCAUUAUUUAUGAAGCAAGUGAAGCAACCGUAGGAGAAGCUGUCACCUAAGACAUCUCCAGGUAUCAGAAGAAUAGUUGCUGGUGCUGCAGGGGAAGAAGUUAACCUUUUCUACUGCCUCGGUAUUUGCUUUCUAUGGAUGCCAACAUUUCAGUUUCAUUUUAUGAUAACUCACAGCUUUUUUUUCUUUGUAGCACAAUCUCCCUUGAAAGCCAUGGCUUGGAGAAUGAAAAGCCACUGCUGACUUCCAGUCACAACCUAAAUAUCUUUGACUGUUACCAUUUUACCCAUUGGUUCUUUAGACUUAAUAUUUUUUGUACAGCCCCUUAACACUAUUUAUAGUAACAGCCACUUACUUUUCUUUCCCUGUAGACAUAAAUAUCUCCUCAUUGUAACUACCUCAGGCUGUCAUAACUGUUGAUACUCUUCCCAUAAUGUGAUUUUUGACUCGAGGCAGACCUCUCGAUCAUCCAAGAUCAGACAGAAUCCUAGCUGCUGAUUUUUGAAGGAUCAAAUAGCAGAACAGACCGCACUGCUGGAGUUUUUGGUCAGAGUCAGAGGAAAAAGAACAGUUAUUUCUCUCCUUCAAAAUCUUUAAGAUAUUGCUAUGGUCUACAUAGAAAUCUGAGAAUUCAUGCCAGCAGCCCUUUGAAAUUGCCUCCAACUCAUUUCUUAAGACCAUACAUUACUUUGAAAUCUAAUUGUGCGAGUACUUGAACUUUGUUCCCAAACAUAGUUAUGCAUAUGUGAAUAGGUCCCUGACUUGUGUCUUUUGUUUGUGUAUAAGGCGCACACAGUGCAGGAAGAGUUGACUUGCUAUACUAGGUCAAGCCCAUAGUCUUUAAGAUCUAUUCUAAUUCCUUUUGAGACUGCCCAUUCUCUGAAGCAAGAGGGUUUAAACUGCUUGCUCAUUUGUAAAAAUCUGUAAAAUACAUGUAUUUAUUGUUAGCAACACAAAACACCUUAAGUAUAACCAACUAAUUCUCCUCUUAUUAUUACACAGAACAUUUUAAGAGUAACUUUAGAGGAAGGAUUAAUAGGAAAAGAGAACAGUAGAUUGUAGAUUGUUCGAGGGAAAUUUGUGGGAAUGCAAACAUGGGGAAAAGCAGACAAAUGGGCUGUUGAGGCGAAUGGUCGUAGGACUGUGAUACAAAAAGACAAGUAGAUAAUAACGGGGAAGCAGAACCGGGAAGGGCCUUGAAACUGAGAACAGAAAGCAAAUAUUAUAUAAAGAUUUAUGAAGUAUCUUUGAACAGUCGUAUCAGGAGGCCUAGGUAUAAACUGCUAUCAGUUCUCGCUACCUAGUUUUAGCCUGAAGUAUGCCACAGCAGUUCCUUGAAUAGUGUUCUCCUGGCCAUAUUAACUCUUCAAGAUUACUGUGAAGUAUGAGCACAUUGCAUUUAUACCUGUACAGAAUUAGUUCAAAAUUAAUGAAUUAUGAAUGACAAAAUACUACUGAAUCAAACUUCUCCAUUUACAUUCAUUCAUUAUAGUAUUCUGUAUUUCUGGUUAUUGCACAGAAUAAAAAAGUAUACAAGGCUUAAAAUAGAGAACAGUCAAGGCUUUUCCCUCUCAGUUUUCCACUCAGCAUGUUUCUUUCUGAAACCAUUUUACCUCCAUGAUUUGUUUCUAUUGUACCAUCAUCAUAACUGAUACAUAACUGAUAAUAACUGGUAGAUUGCGUAGUUUCUUAAUCUUCCAUUCAUGGAUGUAAACAGCUAUGUAAUGCCUUAUGUAUAGGCAUUACUUUUAAAAAUUAAUUGCACUGAACUUUACAUCCCUGUAUUCUAUGGAAUGGAAAAUGUGUUUAUAUGGGUAAAUACAUAUGCGUUUUCAUCAAAACUCACAUACUGUAUAUAAGGAUGCAUUUUAUGGAAAAAACUUCAAGUUAUUCAGCACAAUUAACUUCUCUAAGCUUUCUGACGCAUUUACAGAAGAUAUUUUGCAAUGUUUUUUAUCAAGUAAAUUAAUGUCCAUUUUGUUUUUCAGCUGAACUGGGCUGCCAUAUGCUUGUCUGGUGCCCUCUUGUGGAUCAGAUUAUUAAUAUACUAUUCAUCAUACUGAAAAAGAUAAAGAAUGAGGAAGUUGAAGAUUUGUCUUGGAAAUAACACUGGAUACACAGAUGGUAAUUUCAGACAAGCAAAAAAAAAAAAAGAAAAUCAGCCUUUUUCAUCACAGAUGUCACAUACUCCCCUUGUCAUCACCUCAGAAUAGUGACCAUCCAUAACCUGAAACUCCACGCUUCUUGUGAACAAUCUCUCUGGCUUGUCUUGGAAAGAGGUACCGGGCUGCUGCUUGUUGGAUGUCUAGUCCUUCAAUUUGUAACCAUUCUGUGCUCCAGAGUUAUUAGAUUUAGUGCUCCACAAUGGAGUUCACCCCUUCUUCUCACUGCUUUAGUCAAAACUGCCAAUGUAACUUAUGCAGAAAUUCUUUUUCCUCUGUAACAGUAAACUGAGAUCCAGAUUUUUGUUUUAGAUUCCAGAUUAUCUUAGUCAUUUGUUUUCCUAUGAAAGAAAUACAAAAUAAGAUGAUACUAUUAAAGAGAAAAAAUCCUAUUUCAUCUUUUAUACCUCUCUGUUCCAUAGCUAAACUUGGACUCAAAGGGGAAAAGCUUUCUUACAAAAGUUCUUUGGAAAUGAAUUAGUAUCCUUGUAGAUAUGAAUAUUACUUGAAAGAAGAUCUAUCAAGCAGCUAGCAACUAAGAGCAGAGGACUUAGUAUAAUAGAUUUCCAUUCAAACCUUGACAAAGUGGUUAAAGAUUUGCCAAUAUGUCACGUAAACCUGACACCGUUCUUAUCAGAAUUUUGCUUCUGUGGCCUUUGACGCCUGCAUUUCUUCAUUCUUUUUAUCACUAUUGACUAGUUCAUGAAAUGCUAGUGAAAGAGGACAGGUGUACUUCUAUUAUCUCCUUUUACUGGAUGUUCAGCAGGGAAAGUUUGAGGUUUGGUCUGAGUUGUUACCCAAUAUUCAGGGCUUUUCAUGCUCAUUUUUGUUAGAAGAAAUUGAUGGUAUAAGCAAAGUCAAAGUAACAGCUCAUGUUGCACAAAAGGAGCAACUCUUCAGGGACACACAGAAGGAGUGUCAGCUAUUCUGAAACUGCAAAACUGCAAAAAGCAAGCGGCAUAGAGGAACCUGGCAGACUAGUCCGGAUACUAAGAGUAUGUGAGUGGGAUAAGGAAUGCAGUGGGACAGCAGGGAAUACCACACCUACGCAGUGGCCAGGGUGGUCUGCAUCUGGUUCUCCUCAGCAGAGCUUUGCGUAGUGGGCUUUGCUUCUGGGGCAAAAGAUAACACAGAGCAGUGGAGAACACUACCCCACUCAUGCACACAUUCACUUAGAUGUGGGGUUGGGGGGGAGCAGGGAAGAAGAUGAAAGCACCAAACAGAGAUUUCACCCUUGAUACCAAACAGCCUUCUUUCUGCCUGGAGAAAAGUGUUUCUUUGAUGCAGCUUUGUACGUAAAGUCCUAAUUCCCUGAAAAUAGAGAGAAAAAAAACAGAUAGCAGUUUCCUCCUGCACAGUUUCCAAACUGCCUUUUCAGCAGAUUUGGAGCCCUAGAAGUCCUCUUUCUGCAUGCAUUGUCUCAGGCUCCCAUUCAAACUUGCUCCUUCUGAUGACUGAUGGCUUUCUGUCUCUUAUCCACAUUUUGCCAGUCUAGUUUCUUAAACAGUUGAUGUUCAGACAAGAUGAGGACUUAAAGCUUUUCCAGCAAAAAAUAAUUUAAGCAGAAUUAGUACCUUUGAAAGCAGGCUACUUUUAUUCAAGCAUCUGCUAAUGAAUAAAAGUGUCUAAAUUCAGGCACUCUCAUUUUAAGGGGUAGGCAGUUAAAAACAAUGGAACAGAGUACACCAGCAAAAUAUUUCUAAAUGGAAAAGAAAUUUCAGCCUUCAAGAAACAGCAGUAGUUCUAAACUUUAGUCCACAUAGGAACUCAAUAAUUUGAUUGCCUGAAGGACAUUCCUUCUUCCCUUCUCCCAUCCUUUAGACUUUCAUCAAUUCUGUUUUUAAUUUAUUUCUGUACAUUGCUUGACUAUUGUUAGUUUUUCUGAGUGUCAUUCAAUUUCCCAUAUGACAGAAAGGCAGAGAAAAUUUGAUACCCAUGUGGCGGAUGGAUGAAUGAAUUUUUUGCCUUAAACAUUUCCUGGUGCAUGGGGUGCAGGCAGGCCACAACCCCGAACAAGCCAUCUGUCCCUGGCGGAAACAGGACUGGGCUGCUGCGACCCCCCCGAGAUGGUCUCCCUGCGACCACCCAGGUCACACCAAGCCUGCACUGAAUGAGACCACAAUCGGGCAGAGACUUUGGGAUCUGGACUGUAAAUUAUUGUCCGUUUUUAGCACAACUUCUAUAAAACGUGCUUGGCAUGAGUGGCUAAAUUUGCUGAAGCCUUAGGCCGCACUCCCUAGUUCAGUGAGAAAGGGCCCCAGGGCUGGUGCAGGCGGGAAUGAUAAGGGAGUUACCAGCAAUUUGCAUUCCUGUGCACUGCUGAAACAGUGCUAAUUGCUGGAGUUAUCACCUUCUUUGUCAGGACCUUGAGAGCUAAUGGCUGGACCCAAGAAUGGAGACACACCUGUCAGCAGAAACGGCAACAGUAAAUGGCCUACCUAGGGACAGUGAUGAGACCCAAUAAGGAGCAGGAGACCCCAGACCCAAAUAUUACUAUUGGUCUGGACUACCACGUGAGGAGUGGGAAAACUUAAUUUGAAAAAGCUAUAAUUGCCGAGGGAUUUCUUUGUUUGGCCCUCUCGCUCUCUCGGCCCUCGCUCCUCGUCCCUCGUCGGAGGCCCCCAGCUUGAGCUGUGAUUCGAGCGGAGUCAGCGGAACAUCAUCGGCCUCGGAGUGGUGGUAGCUAGCUUCCUCUCUCCUUUUCCAACUUUCUCUAUCUUUUCCCCUUACCCUUGUUCUGUUCCCCUCUUCCCUUCGCCUCCCCUUCGCUUUUCCCCCACCUUUCCUCCCCAUUUCGUGGAAAAUAAAGUUAAAAGGUUGUACGA